rnacentral:rRNA from 1 species
AUUGAACGCUGGCGGCAGGCCUAACACAUGCAAGUCGAACGAGUGGCGGACGGGUGAGUAAUGUCGGGGAACCUGCCUGAUGGAGGGGGAUAACUACUGGAAACGGUAGCUAAUACCGCAUACCAUCGGAUGUCCCCAGCUGGGAUUAGCUAGUGGGUGGGUUAACGGCUAACCUAGGCGACGAUCCCUAGCUGGUCUGAGAGGAUGACCAGCCACACUGGAACUGAGACACGGUCCAGACUCCUACGGGAGGCAGCAGUGGGGAAUAUUGCACAAUGGGCGCAAGCCUGAUGCAGCCAUGCCGCGUGUAUGAAGAAGGCCUUCGGGUUGUAAAGUACUUUCAGCGGGGAGGCGUUACCCGCAGAAGAAGCACCGGCUAACUCCGUGCCAGCCGCCGCGGUAAUUC